ACCAUUAAGAUUUUUCAUCCACAAGAUACAACCUAUAUUGCAAAAAAUUAAAAAUUAAAAUAAAAGUGAAAAAAAAUUGUAUUAGAAUAUUAAGAAAACUCUACUUAUAAAUAUAAAAGAAUCCAAUUGUUUAAUAUUAAAAAAUCUCAAAUUUAAAAUCUAAAUAUUGAGGGUAAUUUUCUAUUUUUCCAUCUCAUAAUGAAUGAAACUCUAAUAUCUCCCUGCUAACUUACUAAAAGGGUCAUUAUCAACAUUUUUCACCUUAGAGCGAAUGUAAAAUUAUAAAAUUAUUAUCUGAGAACACCCACUUUACAAAUUAGAGAAAAAAACCUAAAAUAAAAAGGAAAAGUAUACCAUAAGGAAUAUUUAUUUCAAGCUCUUUAAAGUACUGAGAGCACCCAUUUUACAAAAUUGUACUCAAGUCAUGUAACAUUUGAAUCCAACUCAUUGAAACUCAUCAUUUUGUCUCAAAAAAGGUUUUUCAUUUUUUUAUUAUUAAAAAAAACCAUAAGCAGCUGAUUGUAUUCAAGUAAUUCAAUGGAUAGCCCUCAAAGGUAGGCAUCAAUUUAUCAGACAUUCAAACUAAACCACGGCAUCAAAAGAUUAUAACGAUAAGAAUAUAUAUACCUCCAGGCGAAGGAGCCAUUGAUGCUAUUAAAAGUUUGUUCUUCAAAAGAGCUUUAAGAAGUGAUCGAUUGUUCUUCAAGAGAGCUUCCAAAGAGCUUAGGGGGCUUUUUCUGUAUCCAAUUUGUUGAUCUCACUCUCAACCAACAGUAAAAGAAUAAACCUAAUCAGGAAAGAUUAAAGCUAACCAUAAAAGAACCAAACUCACCUCAGUAUAUAUGAGUUGGAUUUUUUUCAAGAGACAAUGAAAUAGAGAUGCUUCUGAGAGGAGAGGGUGAGGACAUGCAAAUGAGGAUUUGUGUGAAGAAAGAAUCGUUUACUUUCCAAAGGGACAUGCGGG
rnacentral:lncRNA from 1 species